GCCCAAUGGUCCAGCAGAGCCAAUGCACUGGGCCGGAGGAAGCUCUGGUAUCCUGACCCCGGCCGGCGGUGGGGCAGGGGGCUGAAAGCAAGGUGCACCAAACCCGUUCUCCAGGGCCGCUAGCCGUCUGCUGGAGACUCCGAGCUGCUCAGCCAAGGCUUGCAGUAAACACGCUGAGAUUUGCGCUAUGGCCGCAGAGAAAGGAGGGGUACCUAACUCAAAAGAGUCGUUUCUGCCCUCGAGUCUCAGCGUUCAUCUGUACGAUGGGAACCAAGAUUCCGCCCUUGCGUGGCGAGGGUUGCUGCGAGGCUCCUGCGGGAGGAGACGAUCCCUGCGGAGUAAGUGAAUGCCGAGGCGGAGAGAGAAAAACGAAAGCAGAAAAGAGGAAGGAGGGGGCCCUGAGGCGGAGGAGGAAGUUUGGCCGCAAGGAGGCACCUCGAUUCCCCCAAACUCAGUGUGAGCCGCCCCCCACCCCCGUCAGAUCACUAUGGAGAGGGGCAUCAGCCUGCUCUGAACUGUGGACAAGAGUGUCAGUUCUCUACGGUACUACCUCCCUGACUUUAGACGAAAGUGAGGAAAUCAUUUGGAUAUUGUCAUGUGAUGAUCAGAUAAUUUGGGCAAACCCAGAUUUGUGUCCGGAUUAUCAGAUUUAAUAUCUCUAAUAUAGCAAGUUUUCAUUUGAUUCUCCAAAGACAGCUGUAAAUUCUCUCUCUCCCCCUUGCUCAUUGCCUCUGGUCUUUUCUCCCACGUACACACACACAGUUCCUUGUUUUCCAGUUAAAGGGAACUUCCUUCCAGGAAGAUGCUAUUUUCCAGAUCUCAGCUGACCUGGACUUUAGGCUAUUAACGGAGAUUCCCAUAGACAGUAAAAUACAACAAACUUGCCACCGUGAAAAAGUCCAGAGAGUAUGCUUGUGGUGGGAACAAAGGAGCAGAGAGAAG
rnacentral:lncRNA from 1 species